AUUUAUAUAGUUUAAAUAUAAAACAUUACAUUUUCACUGUAAAAAUAAAAAAUUUUUUUUUAUAAAUA
rnacentral:tRNA from 1 species